rnacentral:rRNA from 1 species
GACGAACGCUGGCGGCGUGCCUAAUACAUGCAAGUCGAACGCAGUGGGGACGGGUGAGUAACACGUGGGUAACCUCCCAUCAGAGGGGAUAACCCUUGGCAACAGGUGCUAAACCGAUACUGAUUGAUGGACCCGCGGGGCAUUAGCUAGUUGGUGAGGUAAAGGCUCACCAAGGCCACGAUGCAUAGCCGACCGGAGAGGGUGAUCGGCCACACUGGGACUGAGACACGGCCCAGACUCCUACGGGAGGCAGCAGUAGGUAAUCUUCGGCAAUGGACGAAAGUCUGACCGAGCAACGCCGCGUGAGUGAAGAAGGUUUUCGGAUCGUAAAACUCUGUUGUUAGAGAAGCGGUAUCUAACCAGAAAGCCACGGCUAACUACGUGCCAGCCGCCGCGGUAAUUC